rnacentral:rRNA from 1 species
AUUGAACGCUGGCGGCAGGCUUAACACAUGCAAGUCGAGCGGGGGAAGGUAGCUUGCUACCGGACCUAGCGGCGGACGGGUGAGUAAUGCUUAGGAAUCUGCCUAUUAGUGGGGGACAACAUCUCGAAAGGGAUGCUAAUACCGCAUACGUCCUACGGGAGAAAGCAGGGGAUCUUCGGACCUUGCGCUAAUAGAUGAGCCUAAGUCGGAUUAGCUAGUUGGUGGGGUAAAGGCCUACCAAGGCGACGAUCUGUAGCGGGGCUGAGAGGAUGAUCCGCCACACUGGGACUGAGACACGGACCAGACUCCUACGGGAGGCAGCAGUGGGGAAUAUUGGACAAUGGGGGGAACCCUGAUCCAGCCAUGCCGCGUGUGUGAAGGAGGCCUUAUGGUUGUAAAGCACUUUAAGCGAGGAGGAGGCUACUUUAGUUAAUACCUAGAGAUAGUGGACGUUACUCGCAGAAUAAGCACCGGCUAACUCUGUGCCAGCCGCCGCGGUAA